GGAAUUUAUUCCGGAUUUGGUUCGGUUAUUAGAUUGUUUACAGUUUGAUCCGGCAUAGGCCAUGCUUGUUUUUAUAGCAAAAGUUGAUUUGUGUUUUGGUGUUUGUGCCCCUAAAGAUUUCCACCCUCGGUGAGAGAGGUUUGUGAGCACUGAGCUGACCAAUAAACAUUUUCUCAAAUUUUA